UGCCCAACCCCUGGCUGUGAUGGAUCUGGUCAUGUAAAUUCAAAAUAUUCAGUUCACCACAGAGUGGCUGGAUGCCCUCUUGCAGAGAAAAAUGCUGCCAACAGUUUGGAAGUCACAACAAAUGGAACAAGUCCAUCUUCUAGCAUUAGACAAGGAGGACGAAGUGUUAAAAAACACAAGUUUGAGAACAGAGAUGUGAACAGAAAACCUGAGGUUCAGCAUGCUGAGUUUUCCAGAAAGAAAACAAAAUUUUCUAUUGACUUAUUACAUCGUUAGUUCCUGUGAAGAUUGGUGAUUAACAUGAAAAGAUUUUCCUACCAUACAGGGGAUGAGGAAUCAAAGUCAAGCCAGUCCUCACUACAAGAGUAUGUUCACCAGUCUGUAUUUGAUCCU